CCCUUAGAUGUUCUGGGCCGCACGCGCGCUACACUGAUCAGUGCAACAAGCAUCCGUCCUUGGCCGACAGGCCCGGGCAAUCUUUGAACGCCGGUCGUGAUGGGGAUAGACUUUUGCAAUUUUUGGUCUUCAACGAGGAAUUCCUAGUAAACGCAAGUCAUCAACUUGCAUUGAUUACGUCCCUGCCCUUUGUACACACCGCCCGUCGCACCUACCGAUUGAAUGGUCCGGUGAAGCCUCCGGAUUGGCGCGCACCUCGGUGCCGCCGAGAAGUUGGCUAAACCUUACCAUUUAGAGGAAGGUGAAGUCGUAACA
rnacentral:rRNA from 1 species